GCCCCACCCAGUAUGCUGGUCAUGACACUCAGCUUGUAACUAAGAGGGUUCGGGUUCGAAUCCCGAGUAAGGCA